rnacentral:lncRNA from 1 species
AGUCCUUCGCCGUCCCUCGCCGUCCUUCGCCAUCGCACGCCACCGCACCCCAUCUCUCGAAAUCUGCAGACAUCUUGAUUUUUCCCACGCUGUCUGUCAGGUCUCCGCCGCCACUCGACGCCAGGGCGCCGGGUGAGUCCACAGCAGGGCGCAUGGUCGGCUCCACUCUCACCAUCGGGGGAAACUGAGGCCCCGGGGAAGGCGGCCAGAGAGGUCAGGCCCUGUCCUUGGUGCAGUGUCUCGUCCUCUUUGCCGGAGUGAGCCCCCCAGGAUUCGCGUGUCCUCGGGAAAGACACUGGCAGGAGUGUCACAUGACUGCCGCCCCAUGUGUGUGAGAGGCGUCCUCUGGGAGAGCAUGGAUCCUGAGGUCCCAGGAUUGUCAGCUGACCUCUGUCCUGUGUGCCCAGUGGCCCCAGGUGACGUGUCUUCAAGAAGAGGCUGAGCUGCGGUGCUUGUAAGAGUCAUGUGCUGUUCCUGGGGCUUGGAUGAUGUAGGGGAAGCAAGGUGAAAGUGGUAUCCCGUGGUUCCACGUUCUGUCCUGCUGUGGGGCUGUCCCUCACAUGCUUUCAGUGGCUGUUGCAGAGGAAGAGCCUCCGGAAAUCUGCGUGGGUAAAGUCUCAGCCUUAGAUCCAAGGACAGUCCAAGGAAGUCCUAAGACCAUGGAGUUGGUGAUCUGGGAUCUGGGUUUGCUGAUAUUUCUCACCGUGAAUCUCUUGGUGGUGUUUGUGGGCACGAGAGGGGCAGAGAAUGGAGAGUGAGGCUACCACAUGAAGCGUCACCAGAGCUGCUCCCUGCUGCCUGCUCAGAGCACCCCGGAUCCACUGUUCAAUCUGCACAAGAUUCGGGGUCCAGACAUGGGAGACUUCAGCUGCCUCAGAGGACCGUGGACAGGGAAGGCCAGCCUCGCAUCCCUCUGUCCAUGCCUGGAAUGACUUUAAUAACCAAGAGUUUUAUUUUUGAAUUUGUAGCUGUCGUUCACUUUUUACCCACCCAUUCAAUAAACCUUACAGAAUUGCUCCA